rnacentral:rRNA from 1 species
GACGGAGGAGGCAAGCGUUAUCCGGAAUUAUUGGGCGUAAAGGGCACGUAGGCGGCUGGUUAAGUCUGGGGUCAAAGGCCACAGCUCAACCGUGGGAAGUCACUGGAAACUGGCCGGCUCGAGUGAGGUAGGGGUUGGGGGAAUUCCCGGUGUAGCGGUGAAAUGCGUAGAGAUCGGGAGGAACACCUGAGGCGGAAGCGCGCAACUGGGCCUCAACUGACGCUGAGGUACGAAAGCUAGGGGAGCGAACGGG